GCCAACUGGGCCGUUUUCAGCCACCAAGCUUUGGGAUAUGAUUUUUGCAACGUUUCAUUUCUCCAUAUCGCCAAAAACGAACAUCAAAAUGUUCAAGAUAUACAACAACUCGUUUACUGGGGCAAAGGCUGUUUCUGAAAUGCAAACUAUUCUAUCUUCGCUCGGCUGGUUUGGUUCGCCCACUUCUCAUCAGGCAAAACUUCUACUUGACAAAUUUUUAUCGUCACAUAUGAUUGAAGAUGUCCACGGUAAAUGGAAAAACAAAAAAAUGAGCAAUUCAAGAAGAAAAUUAUACCGAUUUCCGCCAUUACCCCAACAACCAUUUGAAUGAGUCUUAUGCGGGAAACGACGCCAAUGUUUACCAAUUCCAUGCGAGGAGAGGAGAACGGUUCUUCUCGUGUUAUCAUCUGCAACACAAUCGGAUACUUUGUAAAUCACCGAGCAGGAUAGCAGAGCAAUUUCAGCAGUAAUCGGCAGAUGGCAGCUGGAAUGUAAAUAAUACCACCAUAUGAUUGGGCCACCUUUUGUGCGGUGCCAAAAGGGAAUGGUUAUGAAUAGCCCGAUUCUUUUCCUUAAAUACGACAUUGGAUAUACACAUCGUCGACGACACGACAUACUAUAUUAUAUAAUACUAAUAAAUUACUUGGGUGUCACUACCCGAUAACCAGUUUUGAUUUCCCGCGGCUUCCCUUCCCCAGUAAUGUAAAUAUCAUUUUUUUCUUAUUUUUUGCAUUAUUUUUGUCUUUUACUGGAUGGAAAAA